rnacentral:rRNA from 1 species
UACGUAGGGUGCAAGCGUUAUCCGGAAUUAUUGGGCGUAAAGAGCUCGUAGGCGGUUUGUCGCGUCUGCUGUGAAAACUGGAGGCUCAACCUCCAGCCUGCAGUGGGUACGGGCAAACUAGAGUGCGGUAGGGGAGAUUGGAAUUCCUGGUGUAGCGGUGGAAUGCGCAGAUAUCAGGAGGAACACCGAUGGCGAAGGCGGUUCUCUGGGCCUGUUCUGACGCUGAGGAGCGAAAGCGUGGGGAGCGAACAGG